CUUUGCCAUCCCUUCAAAUCAAUAUUCUCUAAAUUUGUCAGAAUUUAGGUGACAGAGGGCUGGGUGCGGUGGCUUACGCCUAUAAUCCCAGCAUUUCGGGAGGCUGAGGCAGGUGGAUCAUCUGAGGUCAGGAGUUCGAGACCAUCCUGGACAACAUGGUGAAACCCUGUCUCUACUAAAAAUACAAAAAUUAGCUGGGUGGCAUGCGCCUGUAGUCCCAGCUCCUCAGGAGGCUGAGGCAGGAGAAUUGCUUGAACCCUGGAGGCGGAGGUUGCAGUGAGCCAAGAUCACACCACUACACACCAGACAGAAUGAGAUUCUGUCUCAAAAACAAACAAACAAAUAUGACAAACUUCAAAAAAAAUAGGAAAAUAUUAUAUACGUCACACAUUAUAUAUAUGAUAUGGUUUGGCUCUGUGUCCCUCCCCCAAAUCUCACCUUGAAUUGUAAUAAUCACCAUGUGUCAAGAGUGGGGCCAGGUGGAGAUAAUUGAAUCACGGGAACAGUUUCCCCCAUGCUGUUCUCGUGAGAGUGAGUGAGUUCUCAUGAGAUCUGAUGUUUUUAUAAGGGGCUUCUCCCUUCACUGGAUCCUCAUUCUCUAUUGCCGCCCUGUGAAGAGGUACCUCCACCAUGAUUAUAAGUUUCCUGAGGCCUCCCAGCCGUGCUGAACUGUGAGUAAUUAAACCUCUUCCCUUUCUAAAUUUCCCAGUCUCAGGUAUGUCUUUGUUAGCAGCACGAGAACAGACUAAUACAAUAUCAUUAUUAUUUUGUAAAUAAUAUUACAUAUCAUAUAUAUUAUGUGAUUAUAGUUUUCUGCAUUUUGUCAUUUUUAUGCUAUUUAUUAUUUUCUAACUCUAAAUAAAUAUUGACUUUCAUCCCUGACUUUGCAUUCUUUGAAUAUACAGCACUUUGUUUUUGUUUUGUUUUGUUUUGGUUUGGUUUGGUUUUUGAGACCAGGUCUCACUCUGUCGCCCAGGCUGGAGUGCAGCAGCAUGACUGCAACCUCCACCUCCUGCGUUC
rnacentral:lncRNA from 1 species